GACGACGCUGGCGGCGUGCUUAACACAUGCAGGUCGAACGGAAAGGCCCUGCUUUUGUGGGGUGCUCGAGUGGCGAACGGGUGAGUAACACGUGAGUAACCUGCCCUUGACUUUGGGAUAACUUCAGGAAACUGGGGCUAAUACCGGAUAGGAGCUCCUGCUGCAUGGUGGGGGUUGGAAAGUUUCGGCGGUUGGGGAUGGACUCGCGGCUUAUCAGCUUGUUGGUGGGGUAGUGGCUUACCAAGGCUUUGACGGGUAGCCGGCCUGAGAGGGUGACCGGCCACAUUGGGACUGAGAUACGGCCCAGACUCCUACGGGAGGCAGCAGUGGGGAAUAUUGCACAAUGGGCGGAAGCCUGAUGCAGCAACGCCGCGUGCGGGAUGACGGCCUUCGGGUUGUAAACCGCUUUCGCCUGUGACGAAGCGUGAGUGACGGUAAUGGGUAAAGAAGCACCGGCUAACUACGUG
rnacentral:rRNA from 1 species